ACCAGGCUUCUAGCAGGAGGAAGGGGCACCAGCACUUGGGAGAGAGCAGUGCUGCAGUCAGGGACCCAGGGAGCUAAAGAGAGCUCCUGGCUAUCUGCUAGGGCCUGCAGGCUGAGACCCUGAGGUCAUUUGCUUGGGAAGACACUCAAGUACCAAGCACACACAUUGGCCAUGAAGGGCUUGGGAUUUCUGAGAAGAUGAGGAUGUCAUCUAAGUAGAUCACUACAAACUGCUUCAGAACAUUUCUAAAGAUGUUGUUCACAAAGUGCUAUAAUGUGGCUGGAUCGUUGGAAAGACUGAAGGACACAACAAGGAGAUAUUUGGAUCAUGGACCAAGAGGCAGGGGAUGCCAAGUGUGAUGGGGAAGUGAGGAUUGACUACAGGAGUUGUCUUUGGUGUGAGAUCCCAAGUGCAAUUGACCUGGGAAGUUCUUCAGCCACUAGUCAUCCUCCUCGGAGUCCAAGACAAUGUGGACCCACCACGCCAUGCUGAUUCUCCAGGGCCAGAAGCAGCAAUCCACCUGCAAGCAUACCAUUGCAAUCCUGGCAUUGAAAACAUCUGUUCAAUGGGACCCAAAUGGAUUUUCAUUCCUCUUCUGGGUCAGCCAUCUUCACCAUCUGAAAUCUUUCUGGACUGAUUCUGUCCAGUAACUAGUACUGCACUGCACGAACACUUGUCCCACGAGCAGGAGAAGAACGACGUCAUCAUAGACUUGCUCCAUGACUCCAAUGCAGUUUGGCAGAAGGGAGAGAUGACAGAGAGGUACCGUUGUCAAAUGCAUGAAGGUACAGUUCCAGCAACAUGAAGCAAGGCAGUUCCUAGAAUGUCUCCUGUGAUGCACAGAACUCCAGGACACUGCUCCUGAAAUGUUACCAUUAACAUUGUGUAGCGAAUAGGUGCAGUGUGGAUGAGGGCACUCAACAGUGCACAGCAUAUACCCAUACCCAGUACAGCA